rnacentral:rRNA from 1 species
GACGAACGCUGGCGGCGUGCUUAACACAUGCAAGUCGAGCGGUAAGGCCCUUUCGGGGGUACACGAGCGGCGAACGGGUGAGUAACACGUGGGUGACCUGCCCUCAGCUCUGGGAUAAGCCUGGGAAACCGGGUCUAAUACUGGAUAUGACUCCAUGACGCAUGUUGUGGGUGGAAAGCCUUGUGCGGCUGAGGAUGGGCCCGCGGCCUAUCAGCUUGUUGGUGGGGGAUGGCCUACCAAGGCGACGACGGGUAGCCGGCCUGAGAGGGCGACCGGCCACACUGGGACUGAGACACGGCCAGACUCUACGGGAGGCAGCAGUGGGGAAUCUUGCGCAAUGGGCGAAAGCCUGACGCAGCGACGCGCGUGA